UGGAAAUAGCCAUUAAGGCAGCUGCUAAUUAGAGCAUGUCCCCCAAGUGGCUGCCCAGCCGAGCCGUAGGCAGGGUAGAGGAGUGAGGGCUGCCUCCCUCCUUCCCCGGCCCAAACACACACACACACACACACACACACACACACACCCUGCCGUGGCCUCCCUCCUCCACGGGGGGCUCUGAGAUCACCCCGGGCCUGGCUAAAAGGUUUUUCUGAAUGCAGGUGCCCAGCCUGGCCACAUGCCCCUGGGGAGGAUGGAGGAACAGCCGCAGAGCCUGAGGAUCUCGUAGCGCCGCCCACGCCACCGAAACCGGAGGAGUGAAUCUUGCACAAACAAGGCUGGCUGGGUCCAGAUUUACCAUCGAGACUCUCCACUUUUGAAGGUGAUGCGAUCGGAGAGGGAGGUUUCCCUUCUGGAAGGAAAUCGGCCGCACGAGUGUGACAACAGGAGGAAGGAAUCCCGCACGGCCUCCUGCCAGGCAGACAGGCGAUGGGGAGUGGUGGGGACUGCGGCAAAUUGGAGAGCCAGGGCCCAUCUCGAGGGUGCGGCCGCGGCAGCCCUUUCUGGGACAUGUCGACAGCGUGUAGGGUGACUCUCCAUCUGUGUAGGGUGACUCUCCAUCUGUGACUUUCCACCUGAGGUUUUUCUCUUGGGCAGAUGGGCAGUGCCAGGGGGUUAAUACCCCGGAUCCAGCCCCAACCAGUGACAGACAGGAGCUGCAGGGCAACAGCCCAGUUCCCCGGCCCCUCCGGUAGCAGGACGCUGAGGCCUGCUCUGCGCCUUGUCCCAGAGGCACCCAGCAGUAUCCCAGAGACGCAGUCACUGCCCUCUCCUCCCCACCCCCAUCAUCACCUCCUGGGAUCCUCUCCCUAAUAAACUACUUGCACCCAG